CUCUAGGUAGCUUACCUAAAGCAGCAGCCUUUUAAGCCGCAGAAGGACGUACCAGUCCCCUAGACC
rnacentral:tRNA from 1 species